UCUGGCUCAGAACGAACGCUGGCGGCGCGUUUAAGCAUGCAAGUCGAGCGGCAAGGGCCUUCGGGCCCCUAGAGCGGCGGACGGGUGAGUAACACGUGGACAAUCUGCCCCCCGGCCCGGGAUAGCCCAGGGAAACCUGGAUUAAUACCGGAUGAGACGGGACCCGCGAUGGCGGGAUCCGGGAAAGGCGCUGCGGCGCCGCCGGGGGAUGAGUCUGCGUCCCAUUAGCUAGACGGCGGGGUAACGGCCCACCGUGGCGACGAUGGGUAGCCGGCCUGAGAGGGUGGACGGCCACAUUGGAACUGAGACACGGUCCAGACUCCUACGGGAGGCAGCAGCUAAGAAUCUUCCGCAAUGGGCGAAAGCCUGACGGAAGCGACGCCGCGUGAACGAAGAAGGCCGUGAGGUUGUAAAGUUCUUUUCGGGAGGGGGAACAACCGUGGCAGGGAAUGGCCGCGGGAUGACGUGAAUCCCGGAAUAAGCCCCGGCUAACUACGUGCCAGCCGCCGC
rnacentral:rRNA from 1 species